GCAAGGCUGCAAGUUAGAAAACCAAUGAUAAACUCCUGGAAGGAAUUCAGACGCCUUCACAACCCUCCACGGCACAUUCCUCAAAAGAGGUUUUCUCCAGAAAACAGCAACCUGACAGCAGCAACACAGUGCAUGGAAUUUGCUGAGUAGAGUGGGAAGAAAGGAGGGCUGAAUAGCAUCCUGAGACUCCUUCUCUUAUCUAGGACUCUCCCUCCUCUUCAUUCCUGCUGCCUUCUACACUGGGCAGUACCACUGUGUUGUGCCAGAUGGGUGAGAGCAAAUGAAUUACAAAAUAUAAAUACAAA
ensembl:processed_transcript Gm3211 predicted gene 3211